GGCCCAAAUUUGGAGUAGUGUAGAUUAGUAGGAUAGGUUGACCCUACUAAACUACUCUACCUCAAGUUUGUGCUC
rnacentral:pre_miRNA from 1 species